rnacentral:rRNA from 1 species
UACGGUAGGGGGCAGCGUUGUCCGGAAUCAUUGGGCGUAAAGAGCGUGUAGGCGGCCCGAUAAGUCCGCUGUGAAAGUCCAGGGCUCAACCCUGGGAUGCCGGUGGAUACUGUCGGGCUCGAGUCCGGAAGAGGAGUGUGGAAUUCCUGGUGUAGCGGUGAAAUGCGCAGAUAUCAGGAGGAACACCAAUGGCGAAGGCAGCACUCUGGGACGUGACUGACGCUGAGACGCGAAAGCCAGGGGAGCAAACGGGG